rnacentral:lncRNA from 1 species
AGUGGUACUGUCCCACACUGCUGGCAACCCCAGAAGUGCCAUCAGUGACCCCGAACUCUGCUGAAGGCCUACACCUGCUGAAGAAGCUCAUGCCCAGUUUGAACCCACUCAUGACUGAGCCCAAGGACAGUCUUGUCUGUGCCAAGGGUCCUGGCGGCUGCGUUGAAGGACUGAAGUCACCAUUUUGCUUUCUCCACUCUUGACUGUGAAGUUUAAUAUAAGGUAUGGCUCAGUCUUUGUGAUGAUUCAUAACCUGGCUCUAACCAUCAAACCAUUGGACCAUCCUGCGCCUCAUCUCUCUCCCCUACACAGUCUCUCCUUACCUGUCUGGCUUUUGGGUUCCUUACACAUGGUCUCCCCAGAAAGCACUGAGGACUGAUUCAUCACGUCAAGCAGUCAAUUAGAAUCCGGGAAAGCCUCUCUCUGGCCUCACCUUACUUCCUGUACCAGGAGAGAUGCUCAUUAAUAGUAAGAAAGAGUUGAUGGGAUUAGAGUCUGGAAGUGACAACCUCUCCUGAACCUGAACUCAUUGAUUUCUUCGUUUUACAAAACAGUGUUCUUGAGAAAAAUAAACAAAAAAAGGAAAUAAUACAACUAAUAACUCCAAGGUCUAAAUUUAAACCAGCUGUAUCUCAUAACAACAGAAGCUGCAAUGGCCAACAUACGUCAUUUAUAAAACGCCAACUUAUGUGGAUGGGGAUUGGAAUUUCUUGGCAUAAUGCAAAGAGCAUAUAAAAAAUGAGUACGGAAAAGACUACUGUUUGUG